ACAUAUGUUCGGGGGAGGGACCCCAGAAGGCGGCUGACAGUAUUCCUUUAGCCAGAAAUCCCUUCAGGGAAGAGAAAGGUGCUCCCCUUUGCCUGCUUUUAUACUACAGACUGUUUCCAACUCCAGCUAGAAGUGACUAUUGCCGAUUAUGCUAAUCAGUGGCGACAAGCUCCCUUUGACUGCUCACUUCUCCAGUGAGGCUUCAAGCUUCUAGGCAUCAAGAUUAUAUUUUCCAGAAAAUAUUUCAAGCAGAAUAUACUUAUUUUCCAGUUUUGAAAACAACUAGAUUGCCCAUCUCCAUUUCUCUCUAUCAUCUACUGUAUUAUUCUAUGGACAACUGCCACCCUAAUAAGGAGUGACAUUGUUAUAACAGUGAGAUUGGCUCCUCCACUCUUUUCUUCCUCCUUCCACCAUGGGAUGGUAACAGCAAUAAGGCCCUCACAAGAUGUGAGUGCCUUGCUCUUGGACUUCCCAUACUCUACAACUCAAUUGUCAGCAUCUUUGCCACAUGUUUGGAGGCCUGAUAUCAGUUUGUCACCAUGUACUGUAUUUUUCCUGUCUGGUUGGGAGCAGAGAGCAGGUGCUUGGAAAUCCUGCUCUCAUCCAUUCUCCACACAUGACUGGUCUAUGUUCAGCUGAAUUAUGGUGAAUAUCACUUGAGAACUGCUGUAGUAACUGCACUUCAAGACCUGCCUGUAAUCUUGCCCUGCUAUUUGAUAUUCAUUCAGCAAAGCACAUAAAUGAAAUUAUUAAAACUAUUUAAGGACUCAGAUAUGCUCAUAUCAUCUUCAAGACUUAUCAUCUUAUUAUAAUACAUGAGAAAUCAGCGUAAUUCUGAAGAAGUUAAGCUUGACCCAGAGUUUGGAACACAAUUGAAAUACCUAAUUGAUGGUUUGUUAUUAAACUAUCAAUUAAAUGUAUUUUUACAUUUAA
ensembl:lncRNA MIR4307HG MIR4307 host gene